UACGGGGGGGGCAAGCGUUGUUCGGAAUUACUGGGCGUAAAGGGCUCGUAGGCGGCCAACUAAGUCAGACGUGAAAUCCCUCGGCUUAACCGGGGAACUGCGUCUGAUACUGGUUGGCUUGAGUCCGGGAGAGGGAUGUGGAAUUCCAGGUGUAGCGGUGAAAUGCGUAGAGAUGUGGAGGAACACCGAUGGCGAAGGCAGCCCCCUGGGCUGAGAUUGACGCUCAGGCACGAAAGCGUGGGGAGCAAACAGG
rnacentral:rRNA from 1 species